rnacentral:rRNA from 2 species
ACAAAUGCCCUGCUUCCAGGAAAAGCCUCUAAGCAUCAGGUAACAUCAAAUCGUACCCCAAACCGACACAGGUGGUCAGGUAGAGAAUACCAAGGCGCUUGAGAGAACUCGGGUGAAGGAACUAGGCAAAAUGGUGCCGUAACUUCGGGAGAAGGCACGCUGAUAUGUAGGUGAAGCGACUUGCUCGUGGAGCUGAAAUCAGUCGAAGAUACCAGCUGGCUGCAACUGUUUAUUAAAAACACAGCACUGUGCAAACACGAAAGUGGACGUAUACGGUGUGACGCCUGCCCGGUGCCGGAAGGUUAAUUGAUGGGGUUAGCGGUAACGCGAAGCUCUUGAUCGAAGCCCCGGUAAACGGCGGCCGUAACUAUAACGGUCCUAAGGUAGCGAAAUUCCUUGUCGGGUAAGUUCCGACCUGCACGAAUGGCGUAAUGAUGGCCAGGCUGUCUCCACCCGAGACUCAGUGAAAUUGAACUCGCUGUGAAGAUGCAGUGUACCCGCGGCAAGACGGAAAGACCCCGUGAACCUUUACUAUAGCUUGACACUGAACAUUGAGCCUUGAUGUGUAGGAUAGGUGGGAGGCUUUGAAGUGUGGACGCCAGUCUGCAUGGAGCCGACCUUGAAAUACCACCCUUUAAUGUUUGAUGUUCUAACGUUGGCCCGUAAUCCGGGUUGCGGACAGUGUCUGGUGGGUAGUUUGACUGGGGCGGUCUCCUCCUAAAGAGUAACGGAGGAGCACGAAGGUUGGCUAAUCCUGGUCGGACAUCAGGAGGUUAGUGCAAUGGCAUAAGCCAGCUUGACUGCGAGCGUGACGGCGCGAGCAGGUGCGAAAGCAGGUCAUAGUGAUCCGGUGGUUCUGAAUGGAAGGGCCAUCGCUCAACGGAUAAAAGGUACUCCGGGGAUAACAGGCUGAUACCGCCCAAGAGUUCAUAUCGACGGCGGUGUUUGGCACCUCGAUGUCGGCUCAUCACAUCCUGGGGCUGAAGUAGGUCCCAAGGGUAUGGCUGUUCGCCAUUUAAAGUGGUACGCGAGCUGGGUUUAGAACGUCGUGAGACAGUUCGGUCCCUAUCUGCCGUGGGCGCUGGAGAACUGAGGGGGGCUGCUCCUAGUACGAGAGGACCGGAGUGGACGCAUCACUGGUGUUCGGGUUGUCAUGCCAAUGGCACUGCCCGGUAGCUAAAUGCGGAAGAGAUAAGUGCUGAAAGCAUCUAAGCACGAAACUUGCCCCGAGAUGAGUUCUCCCUGAGACUUAGAGUCUCCUGAAGGAACGUUGAAGACGACGACGUUGAUAGGCCGGGUGUGUAAGCGCAGCGAUGCGUUGAGCUAACCGGUACUAAUGAACCGUGAGGCUUAACCUU